CAAUCCUCGUUGAUUUUCAACCCUAUCUUUUCUUUUGGUUCUCUCCAUCUCCAAGUUUCGGUUAUGGCAUCGAAACCCAUCGUCAACGAGCUCAAGGAUUUGCAGAAGGAUCCUCCUACGCGCUGCAGUGCAGGUUCUUUUGUCUAUUUGCUCACUGUUGACGGAUCCCAACCCUGAUGACUUGCUUAUGCCUGAAAUUGCACACACAUGUACAAGACUGACAGGGUUAAGUAUGAAGCCCACUGCUCCCAGUUGGACACAGAAAUAUGCUAUGGAUGAUAAUUCUCCUCCUGUAGCAGCUCAAUCAUGUUCUGAGGAAACAAAAGAUGCUUUUCAUGAAAUAUUGUCUUUACUUGUCAGUGAAACUGAACCAUGAAACAUGCCUGCUGGAAACCACUCGGUAUGCUGCUGCACGACAGAGACACGUUCAAGGUGAGGUCACCACAAGUAGCUUCGAUUGAAGUCAAUGGUAAAUAAUAUAAUAUCAGAACAGUGGCUGAUUAAAGCAGCGAGGGGACUAAUCCGAAGAGUCAUGUCUUAAUUAACAAGCAAAAGUAAAGGAGGGGUGAUUCAUCUGUAAAUGCAAUGCAUCUUGUGGCCUCAGCGUAGAUAAUGUGAACGUCCUCGACUAACUAGCAUGCUUACUUGUCUUUGCUUCCUUUUCAAGCCAAAACCUAACAUAAUUAAACUUUUUGAGGAAAUUCCUCCUCCCUACAAUACUUGGACCCUUCUUAUAAUGUUAACGUUUUCUUUCUAUUGUUUAAUUCAUUCAUAGCUAUUGUUCAUCCGCCUCUUUCCUCACGAGGAUGUUGAUUUAUCUAUUGGGAAUGUCUCUUGGCAAAUUUAUAAUCUCUUAUGGCAAUUUCCCCUAUUCGUUUACCAUUUUUCGUAUGAUUUGAGCGCUAGACAAGUGGUUCAAGCCAAUUUGAAUAAAGAGUGUGGGUUCAAGUCAUAGGAUCAAAG